rnacentral:SRP_RNA from 1 species
CCCGCUCAGGGCGGGGGUUGGGAUCCCCAGUUAACCGGAGGGUUGGCUGGGGCCUCCAGUCAAAGUACGGUGCAACGGCACAGGCCGGCAACGGAGCACGCUUAGCCGUCGCCUUCGCCGGUGACGGGACCGCUUGGCU